AGAGUUUGAUCAUGGCUCAGGAUGAACGCUGGCGGCGUGCCUAACACAUGCAAGUCGAACGGAGUUAUUAUUAUGAAGCCUUCGGGUGGAUUAAUAAUAACUUAGUGGCGGACGGGUGAGUAACGCGUGGGUAACCUGCCUCACACAGGGGGAUAACAGCUGGAAACGGCUGCUAAAACCGCAUAAGCAUACAUUGUCGCAUGACAGAGUGUGAAAAUAUUUAUAGGUGUGAGAUGGGCCCGCGUCUGAUUAGCUAGUCGGUGAGGUAACGGCUCACCAAGGCGACGAUGCGUAGCCGACCUGAGAGGGUGAUCGGCCACACUGGGACUGAGACACGGCCCAGACUCCUACGGGAGGCAGCAGUAGGGAAUCUUCCGCAAUGGACGAAAGUCUGACGGAGCAACGCCGCGUGAGCGAUGAAGGUCUUCGGAUCGUAAAGCUCUGUUGUUAGGGAAGAACAAGUGCCGUUCGAAUAGGGCGGUACCUUGACGGUACCUAACCAGAAAGCCACGGCUAACUACGUGCCAGCAGCCGCGGUAAUACGUAGGUGGCAAGCGUUGUCCGGAAUUAUUGGGCGUAAAGCGCGCGCAGGCGGUCUCUUAAGUCUGAUGUGAAAGCCCACGGCUCAACCGUGGAGGGUCAUUGGAAACUGGGAGACUUGAGUGCAGAAGAGGAGAGCGGAAUUCCAUGUGUAGCGGUGAAAUGCGUAGAGAUAUGGAGGAACACCAGUGGCGAAGGCGGCUCUCUGGUCUGUAACUGACGCUGAGGCGCGAAAGCGUGGGGAGCAAACAGGAUUAGAUACCCUGGUAGUCCACGCCGUAAACGAUGAGUGCUAAGUGUUAGAGGGUUUCCGCCCUUUAGUGCUGCAGCUAACGCAUUAAGCACUCCGCCUGGGGAGUACGGCCGCAAGGCUGAAACUCAAAGGAAUUGACGGGGGC
rnacentral:rRNA from 1 species